AUAGUGUAUUAAUGUGAAAAUGGUUGUAGCUUCUAGUGUAAAUAUGCUUAUGUUGGUUUCCAUUAGUUUAUCCGAAGCAUCGAAUUUGUCUUCUAUUGUUUUCAUGAUGUAUUAUGGAUUUAAUAUGCUGUUUUUGCUUCUUGGGAAUUCCAUUUUGUUGGAUGUUAUGCAGCAUAUACUGGGUUGGAAGGAUGCAAUCAGAAUCAGAUAAAUGGGGAUGGAAGCAUGUCAGUGUUUUUGGUGGGUUUGAUAAGGGAAGUGGUACUAAAAGAUGGAAAUGCAAUCACUGCAAUAUAAGAUACAAUGGAUCCUAUUCUCGUGUUAGAGCUCAUCUGCUUGGUUUUUCUGGUGUUGGAGUCAAAAGCUGUCCGGCUAUAGAUAAUUCUUUGAAAGAAUCAUUUCAAAUGUUAGAAGAAGAGAGGGUUUCCCGGAAAAAGAAGAGAGCUUCUAUAACUGGUAAGUAUAGCAAGCGUAUUCGUACUCCUCGACCUAGUCUCACAUGUGUCACCAAAGAAGAUGUAGAUGAAAUGCUAGCAAGAUUCUUCUUUGCUAAUGGAUUAAACAUGAAGAUUAUUAACUCGCCUUAUUUUCAUGAGAUGAUAAAAGCAGUUGCAGCUUUCGGCCCAGGCUAUGAACCCAUGUCAAUACAUGAGUUGUCUGGUUCCUUUUUGAGUAAAGAAAAAGAAAGAAUUGAGAAAUAUGUUGGUCUAGUUAGGGAAUCUUGGCCGCAUACAGGAUGCACAUUACUCUGCAUUGGACGUUUACACAGUAUGUCGGAUAGUUUGCAGGUUAACAUAUUUGUAUCUAGUCCAAGGGGACUCUCAUUCUUGAAAUCUGUAGAUGUAGACAGUGUUGAUGGAGCAGGAAACUCUGCUGUUAGUAUUCUUAGAAACACAAUUAUGGAUGUUGGACCUACAAAUGUGGUUCAGAUAAUCUCAUAUCUUGGCCCUGCCAAAACUUAUUCUGAAUCCUAUACCUUGGCCGAAUUUCCUCAUAUAUUUUGGUCUCCUUGCUCUGCACAUUCUAUCCGCAUUUUGAUGGAAGAUAUAGCUGAAUUGGAUUGGCUAAGACCUGUUGUUUUGUGUGCUAAAGAAAUUGACAAGUGCAUAAUUUCAUUUCAGAAUUUCGCUCCUUCUGUCUACGGUGAAAACUUGAAAGGGUCUUCCGACUCACUGACCGCUAGAAUCGCACCCUCCUGUUACAUUGUCCAAAAGAUUCUUGAACUAAAGAAAGAAUUUCAAGAAGUGAUUGUGACUGAAGAGUGGAAGCAAUGGAAACUUAGUAUUCAACAAGAUAUUGGAAGCAUUGAAUCAACCAUAUUGGAGGAAGAUUUCUGGAGCAGGGGUCAUAUGAUGUUGCAAAUAUGUGAACCUUUUGUCAGAUUGUUUUCCACACUUGAUAUCAACCGGUGCAUCAUGGGAGAUGUCCACGAGUGGCGUGUUCAGGCUAUCGAGGCUGUAAAGAGUAGAGGAAUAAUAGAUGCUGGUGCACUCAAUCAGCUAGAAGGGUUGAUAGAUAACCGGUGGGAUGUGCUGUUUUCACCCCUUCAUUCUGCAGGUUAUAUAUUGAAUCCGAAAUACUUCGGCCGAGGUCAGGCCAAGGACAAAACCAUAAUGAGGGGUUGGAAAACAACAUUGGAGAGAUAUGAGUGUGAAAGCGCUAGUCGAAGAGUUCUGCGGGAGCAGCUCAGCUCUUAUUGGCGACUCGAAGGAUCAUUAGGAGAGGAAGAUGCAGUGGACUGUAGAGAUAAAAUGGAUCCGGUUGCUUGGUGGGAGAACUUUGGUUUUGAGAUGCCACACUUACAAACACUUGCCAUAAAAGUGCUGAGUCAGGUUUCCAGUGUUGCAAUGUGUGAAGAGAGUUGGCAACAUAAUGGUGGUAAUCCAUGCCAAGAAACAGAUGCUGGGUUGGAAGACCUUGUAUAUGUAAAGAACAAUCUAAGACUCCAAAGUCAUAAAAUGGAUUCUCAUGCUACACAUCUUAAAGACAUGGUACCAAGUUCCCUACAGAAUUGAAGAGACAGGCAGUGCUUUCUAGUUCUGACAGAUUGUGUUAGCCUAUGAUGUUACUUCUUCUUGUCACAUUUAUGUGGAAGCCUUGUAAAUAAUGCAUAGACUCUGAACUUUUUUUGUAGUAAAAAUUUCUGUUUGUGCUGGAAGAGGAGCAGCGGGAGUUCUUAUGUCUAACAAUUUUAGAGUGGGAAAUAGGAAUAUCUUAGCUGAUAUUCAUUGUGGGCCUUAGGAUCUUCAAGACAAGAAGCAGGUGUUUUGGGCCCGGCCCAGCCCAGCAGCCCCGAAAGCUUGAAGAUGAAUAAAAAAAGAAACGGGGCAUUCCGAGAAUUGAACUCGGGACCUCUCGCACCCUAAGCGAGAAUCAUACCACUAGACCAAAUGC